GAUGAACGCUGGCGGCGUGCCUAAUACAUGCAAGUCGAACGAAACUUCUCUAUUAUCGCGUGCUUCCCCUCACCGAUAAAGCGUUGAGUCACGAACGGGUGCGUAACUUGUCGGCAAGCUGACCAAAGGAGGGGGAUAACAAUUGGAAACAGGAGCUACUACCGCAUAAUCAUAGUUACCGCAUGGCAACGAUGUAGAAUGUGGCUAUGCUACCGCUUCUUGUUGGGCCGGCGGCGCAUUAGCUAGUUGGUAGGGUAAAGGCAUACCAAGGCAAUGAUGGGUAGCCGAAGUGAGUGGUUGGUCGGCCACAUUGGGACUGGGACACGGCCCAAACGCCUACGGGAGGCAGCAGUAGGGAAUCUUCCACAAUGGGGGAGAGCCUGAUGGAGCAACGCCGCGUGGGUGGAGGAGGUCUUCGGAUCGGAAAACCCUGUUGUUAGAGAAGAAAGUGCGUGAGAGUAACUGUUCACGUUUCGACGGUAUCUAACCAGAAAGCCACGGCUAACUACGUG
rnacentral:rRNA from 1 species